rnacentral:lncRNA from 10 species
UUGAAUGAAACACUCUUGCUUGUAGGUGCACUCCCACUCAUAGACAGGGAGCUUAAGAUGUAUAUAAGCACUAGAAAAAAUCUUCUAACCUUGAGUUGGUCUGGUGAGUUACUCUGACCUUCUCCUUGUAACUGGUUGCAGAAAUAAACUCCCUUCUUUCCCAGUCUGCCUGCAUCUCAUUAUUGGAUCACCAGGACAAGCAGCCAGGCCUCAUUCUGUCCGGGAGCAAAUCUGGUAACUCUCCCAGGAGAGCUCAGCAGCCAGCGGCUCGCAAAGAGGUAGUCUUUGGGUGACCCCCAGCAGCUGCCUGGUAUGGUUUGUCCUGGGGACUCUCCUGAGGACCUUUCUGGCUGCAAAGACUGCCCGUCUCUCUAUUACUGGGAAAGAAUAGAGAUUGGGAGCAGUUGCACUCAAAAGCCCUGCAGCUAGCUGUCCCAAGUAAACAACGCUCUUGGAGUAAAUUGGAAACUCACACAGCAUGGAAACCACAACCUUCUGGACAGACUGAAAGGAUGAAUCAAACACGAAAACAGUGCCAAACUGUGCCAACUAAAAUGGAUUCAGGUACUCAGCAUUGUACUGCUUUGGCUUGCUUGCAACAGGAGUAUCGUAAACUCAGCGAAACUGUGUCACUUGUACCAGCCUGGUGAUCAAGUGCUGCUGAAAGAAUAAAGAGAAAUGAGCCCAAGUCAGCAGCUACAGGAGAAAUAGAAAGGGCCCCAUGACAUGCUGCUGACUACCAAUUUGGCAAUGAAACUGGCUGGCAUCAAGCCAUGGAUCCACCACAUGCCCGUGAAGAAGUUCCUGCCGGAGGAAACAUUCAUGACACAGGACACCAAGGCUGCCAAAUGGGAGACAGAACCCCUUGAAGGCCUAGGAUUUCUGUUCAAAAGAUGAUAAAGUAUUGUUUUACAUUGUUACAUUGCUGCUUUACAUUGCUGCUGUUUUACAUUGUUAUUUCUGCGUACCUCUAACCUUUUCCUACAAUGGGCAAAGGUUAUGCAAAUAGCUUACAGCAAGACUCUUGCUGGGUCUGUGCUCUAUUACCCCUCUCUGGCACCAUGGGGCUGCCUUGGUGCAUCCCCCACAUACAAGGAAAAAUUAGGUUUAUAAUAUCUUGAUUUUGUAGAACACCUUCCUGGUGGCAGAAAAUUCUUCUUGUCCUAGCUGCCUUCCUGGGCAUGAGCAUAAUACUAUGUUGUGAACUAUAUUAUUGUUAUAUGCUGUUCCAAAACAUUCCUCAGGCUCACAAGAUCAUGUCUUAUCAGGCGCUGCCUUUGAGUCUCUAAAGCCAGAAACAUUACCAGCACCAGAUAGACAUCUUCCACUCUAGCACCCCUUGAUGACAACCCUCUUCAGCAGGAAGUAGAUGGAGGGAAUGCAUACCCACUUUCCCUUAGUCGGCUAUGUCAUAGUUUACACUUUUGCACUAGCCUUUUAACAAACCAGUACUUGAAAAAAUUAACUAACAUGCUAGAAAUCACGUACAAAUUGACAGUGGGGAUUGUGGCAGGCCAGGUUUCCAUUAGCAACCAGAACAGUCAGUUUUCACUAAUCCUUUACUAUAACUCUGAUGAAUAUAUAAGUUAAACAUUAAAGAACUGGAGAAACUGGUCACUAAGUACAAUGGCUGGAAUGCAAAAACAAACCCAUUAAGACCCCAGACCCUAAUGAUUAGAUACAGAUUGAAAGAAACACUCCUGCUUGUAGGUGCACUCCCACACAUAGGCAGAGAGCUUAAAAUGUGUAUAUGCACUAGAAAAAAUAUUGUAACUGCGUUGGUCUGAUGAGUUACUCUGACCUUCUCCUUGUAACUGGUUGCAAAAAUAAACUUUCUUUUUCCCCAGUCUGUCUGCAUCUCAUUAUUGGACUGCGAGAACAAGCCACCAGACCUCUUUCUGUCCGGGAAUACAGUGAACCCAAUAUAUCUGAGACAGACGGAGUCUCCCUCUGUUGCUGUGUCGCCCACGCUGGAGUGUAGUGGCACAACAUCUGCUCACUGCAACUUCUGACACUCAGGUUCAAGCUGUUCUCCUGCUCAGCCUUCCAAAUAGCUGGAACUACAGGCAUGUGCCACUACGCCUGUCUAAUUUUUUAUUUUUAGUAGAGAUGGGGUUUCACCAUGUUGGUCAGGCUGGUCUCAAACUCCUGACCUCGGGUGAUCCACCCUCUUCGGCCUCCCAACAAGCCAAAUUCUUGACUGAAAAUUUUAUCUAUUGUUAAUGGCACAAAUUAAUUACUAUAUAUUCCAUAAAGUCUUUCUUGACUCUCUCCACACUCCCUCCCUGGAGAGGUGAUUUCUCUUUACUCUUACCUUUUUAUCCUUGGUUAUUUUAUUAGCUCAUUUAUGAACUUGUUUAGAAACAGGUCCAUUCUUCUGAAUGUUAGCAGCCAUUUCUUAAUUUUUUCUCAUUUUUAUAUUCAACCAUGUUGAACAUGGUGAAAGAUCAAUAGAUAGCGAGGAAUAAAGGUUAAUACAAAUGAUAUUUCAUUCCAUGAUCUCGUUGGUUCAUUGAACCCAAUCACUCCUGUUAAUUAAAGCAAAGUUUCCUGGUGUUGCUAUAAUUUUUUAAAAUGUAAAAGUGCAAGAAAAAUUUUGGCGAAGAGAAAUUUGGUCAAGUAAUUUUCAAAAGAGAUAGGUAAGUUAGAUAAUAUUAAGCAUCACUGUAACUUUUCUAUUUUAUCAUCCAACAAAGCAUGAAGUGCUAUGUAAUAGGCAGUUUGAACCAUCUCCGAUAACAUACACCUGCACAAUAAGGCAAAACAGCAAAUACAUUGCCCAAGUAAAAAGAUUUGAAAAUGCAGUGUAAUCACAUAAAUGCUAAAUCAUUAGGCCCAAAACAUUCCCUGAAAUUUAUGUAGUAGAGAAAACGUAAGAGGCUCCCAUAACACUUUCUUCUCUAUGAAGCCUUUACCAAAUGAUGAGGACAAAAAAGAUAAUUACCUCCUAACCUAUUCUGAUUGAACAUGCAACUCUCUCCACUCGCCCCCCUCUUUUUCCUCAUCUGCACAUCAUAUAAAUGUAGUACUGUCUUUGGGUAGCUCCUUUACU